AAAAGCUCGUAGUUGGAUCUGGGUUGCAUGGCUACAUGCCGUCGCUUGUGGGUCUGGCCUGGGCAACCGGGUUGGACUUGCGAGUCGGUCUAGUGGUUGUGCUUCCUUUCUGCUGUGUCUGUUUACAGGUGUCAGCGUGACUGGUGGGCUUGCUUGCCGGUCUGUUGGCAUGCUUCUUGAUGCCUUUCAACGGGUGUCGGAGGCGGACAGCACGUUUACUUUGAACAAAUUUGAGUGCUCAAAGCAGGCCUUUGUGCCUGAAAAUUCUUGCAUGGAAUAAUGGAAUAGGACUUCGGUUCUAUUUUGUUGGUUUUCGGAUCCGAAGUAAUGGUUAAGAGGGACAGACGGGGGCAUUUGUAUGGCGGUGUUAGAGGUGAAAUUCUUGGAUCGCCGCCAGACAAACUACAGCGAAAGCAUUUGCCAAGGAUGUUUUCAUUGAUCUUGAGCGAAAGUCAGAGGUUCGAAGACGAUCAGAUACCGUCCUAGUUCUGACCAUAAACGAUGCCAACUGACGAU
rnacentral:rRNA from 1 species